CCCCUCUCUCUCUCUAGCUCUCUCAUAAGCAGCCGUGGGGAUUUACAUCACAUUUGCGAUGUGAUGAGACAGAAAUAGAGAAAGCCCAAUCAGGGUCAAACUCAAGGAAUGCUCGGUGCUCAAGAUCCUGCCCACAGUGGGAGCCAUUUACGCCCCUGAAGCAAAUAAAGCAUCACCGUUUUUCGACGA
rnacentral:lncRNA from 1 species